UACGAAGGGUGCAAGCGUUAAUCGGAAUUACUGGGCGUAAAGGGUGCGUAGGCGGUUGUUUAAGUCUGUCGUGAAAUCCCCGGGCUCAACCUGGGAAUGGCGAUGGAUACUGGGCAGCUAGAGUGUGUCAGAGGAUGGUGGAAUUCCCGGUGUAGCGGUGAAAUGCGUAGAGAUCGGGAGGAACAUCAGUGGCGAAGGCAGCCAUCUGGGACAACACUGACGCUGAAGCACGAAAGCGUGGGGAGCAAACAGG
rnacentral:rRNA from 1 species